AUUGAACGCUGGCGGAAUGCUUAACGCAUGCAAGUCGAACGGCAGCAUGGUGUGUAGCAAUACACACUGAUGGCAAGUGGCGGACGGGUGAGUAACGCGUAGGGAUCUACCCUGUAGUGGGGGACAACCCGGGGAAACUCGGGCUAACACCGCAUACUACUCUGAGGAGGAAAGCUGGCUCGCAAGAGCUGGCGCUAUGGGAGGAACCUGCGUCCGAUUAGCUAGCUGGUGAGGUAAAAGCUCACCAGGGCGAUGAUCGGUAGCUGGUCUGAGAGGAUGACCAGCCACACUGGGACUGAGACACGGCCCAGACUCCUACGGGAGGCAGCAGUGGGGAAUAUUGGACAAUGGGGGCAACCCUGAUCCAGCAAUUCCGCGUGUGUGAAGAAGGCCUUCGGGUUGUAAAGCACUUUGGACGGGGAAGAAGGCAUUCUGUUUAAGAGAUGGGAUGUUUGACGGUACCCGUAGAACAAGCACCGGCUAACUCUGUGCCAGCCGCCGCGGUAA
rnacentral:rRNA from 1 species